AUGUCUCGUUUUGUCCACAUCUCAAAGACAGUCAGCUUGCUGACACAGAGGAGAGAAGAAACUAGAAGAUAUUCACAUUUGACAAGCUGACAUCACACAAGUUUGAAUGUUAUUUCAUAA